AAGUACCGUGAGGGAAAGGUGAAAAGUACUUUGAAAAGAGAGUCAAAAAGACCGCGAAACCGUUAGGAGGGAAGCGAAUGCAGCUGAAUCGGCUCCGCUCAAGUUCAGGAGCGACGUCGGUCAGCGAUGCCGGUCUGCAAGAGCCGAUAGGCUUUGCUCUCCGGAUAGCUGUCGACUCCUCUGCACUCUUGUGCGAGCCGGCCAACAACGAUUGCUCGCGGCUGACGAGGGCCUUCGGGUAGGUGCUCACUCUUCGGGGUGAUACUUAUAGCCGUCGGUCUGGAAGUCCGCUGGCGAUCGAGGAUAACUGGCAGUGCAGGCCUUCGGGGUCUUGGGCUGCUCUGGACCGUUUGGGCACCGCGUCAGGGUCUGCGUGCAGUGUCUGACGACGGAGGAACUCUCGGACCAGAUGCCAGUCACACCUUGCGCUGCAGUUGUUGGUGAUCGAAUGGCUGCAUCCGACCCGUCUUGAAACACGGACCAAGGAGUGCAACAUGCGUGCGAGUCUUUGGGUGGCAAACCCAGCGGCGCAAUGAAAGUGAAGGCAGGCAGUGGUCUGCCGAGGCGAGAGUCUCCCCUCGAGACGCAUCGUCGACCGAUCCCAGGUCACGCCGUGGCGGGAUUUGA
rnacentral:rRNA from 1 species